rnacentral:rRNA from 1 species
CGAACGAUGAAGCUGGAGCUUGCUCCAGUGGAUUAGUGGCGAACGGGUGAGUAACACGUGAGAAAUCUGCCCCUGACUCUGGGAUAACUGCGGGAAACUGUAGCUAAUACCGGAUACUUUCCCUGGUGGGCAUCCACUGGGGAAGAAAGAAUUUCGGUCAGGGAGGAUCUCGCGGCCUAUCAGCUUGUUGGUGAGGUAACGGCUCACCAAGGCGACGACGGGUAACCGGCCUGAGAGGGUGACCGGUCACACUGGGACUGAGACACGGCCCAGACUCCUACGGGAGGCAGCAGUGGGGAAUAUUGCACAAUGGGCGCAAGCCUGAUGCAGCAACGCCGCGUGAGGGAUGACGGCCUUCGGGUUGUAAACCUCUUUUAGCAGGGAAGAAGCGAAAGUGACGGUACCUGCAGAAAAAGCACCGGCUAACUACGUGCCAGCAGCCGCGGUAAUACGUAGGGUGCAAGCGUUGUCCGGAAUUAUUGGGCGUAAAGAGCUCGUAGGCGGUUUGUCACGUCUGCUGUGAAAAUCCAAGGCUCAACCUUGGACUUGCAGUGGGUACGGGCAGGCUAGAGUGCGGUAGGGGAGAUGGGAAUUCCUGGUGUAGCGGUGGAAUGCGCAGAUAUCAGGAGGAACACCAAUGGCGAAGGCACAUCUCUGGGCCGUAACUGACGCUGAGGAGCGAAAGCGUGGGGAGCGAACAGGAUUAGAUACCCUGGUAGUCCACGCCGUAAACGGUGGGUGCUAGCUGUGGGCCACAUUCCACGUGGUCCGUGACGAAGUUAACACAUUAAGCACCCCGCCUGGGGAGUACGGCGCAGCUAAAACUCAAGAUGACGGGGCCCGCACAGCGCGAGCAUGCGAUAUCGAUGCACGCGAGACUUACA